UACGUAGGGUGCAAGCGUUGUCCGGAAUUAUUGGGCGUAAAGAGCUCGUAGGCGGUCUGUCGCGUCGAAUGUGAAACCCCGAGGCUCAACCUCGGGUCUGCAUUCGAUACGGGCAGACUAGAGUUCGGUAGGGGAGUCUGGAAUUCCUGGUGUAGCGGUGAAAUGCGCAGAUAUCAGGAGGAACACCAACGGCGAAAGCAGGUACCUGGACUAUUACUGACGCUCAGCUGCGAAAGCUAGGGGAGCAAACAGG
rnacentral:rRNA from 1 species